rnacentral:rRNA from 1 species
UGAGGAAUAUUGGUCAAUGGGCGAGAGCCUGAACCAGCCAAGUAGCGUGCAGGAUGACGGCUCUAUGGGUUGUAAACUGCUUUUAUGUGGGGAUAAAGUGCGUGACGUGUCAUGCAUUGCAGGUACCACAUGAAUAAGGACCGGCUAAUUCCGUGCCAGCAGCCGCGGUAAUACGGAAGGUCCGGGCGUUAUCCGGAUUUAUUGGGUUUAAAGGGAGCGUAGGCUGUCUAUUAAGCGUGUUGUGAAAUUUACCGGCUCAACCGGUGGCUUGCAGCGCGAACUGGUCGACUUGAGUAUGCAGGAAGUAGGCGGAAUUCAUGGUGUAGCGGUGAAAUGCUUAGAUAUCAUGACGAACUCCGAUUGCGCAGGCAGCUUACUGUAGCAUAACUGACGCUGAUGCUCGAAAGUGCGGGUAUCAAACAGG